AACGAACGCUGGCGGCAUGCCUAACACAUGCAAGUCGAACGAGACCUUCGGGCCUAGUGGCGCAUGGGUGCGUAACGCGUGGGAACCUGCCCUUAGGUUCGGAAUAACUCCCCGAAAGGGGUGCUAAUACCGGAUAAUGUCUUCGGACCAAAGAUUUAUCGCCUUUGGAUGGGCCCGCGUUGGAUUAGAUAGUUGGUAGGGUAAAAGCCUACCAAGGCGACGAUCCAUAGCUGGUCUGAGAGGAUGAUCAGCCACACUGGGAGUGAGACGCGGCCCAGACUCCUACGGGAGGCAGCAGUGGGGAAUAUUGGACAAUGGGCGGAAGCCUGAUCCAGCAAUGCCGCGAGAGUGAUGAAGGCCUUAGGGUUGUAAAGCUCUUUUACCCGGGAUGAUAAUGACAGUACCGGGAGAAUAAGCUCCGGCUAACUCCGUG
rnacentral:rRNA from 1 species